rnacentral:rRNA from 1 species
UGAGGAAUAUUGGUCAAUGGGCGGGAGCCUGAACCAGCCAAGCCGCGUGAGGGAGGAAGGCCCUAUGGGUCGUAAACCUCUUUUGUCAGGGAACAAAAGCGAGUAUGUAUACUAGUCUGAGUGUACCUGAAGAAAAAGCAUCGGCUAACUCCGUGCCAGCAGCCGCGGUAAUACGGAGGAUGCGAGCGUUAUCCGGAUUUAUUGGGUUUAAAGGGUGCGUAGGCGGCGGUGCAAGUCGGCGGUAAAAGCCCGGGGCUCAACCCCGGCGAGCCGUUGAAACUGCAGUGCUAGAGAAGGCGAGAGGUACGCGGAAUGCGCAGUGUAGCGGUGAAAUGCUUAGAUAUUGCGCAGAACUCCGAUUGCGAAGGCAGCGUACUGGCGCCUGACUGACGCUGAGGCACGAAAGCGUGGGGAUCGAACAGGAUUAGAUACCC